AAAGGCCCAUUACAGUGUCCCAGAGCACAAGGGACAUCAUUAAAUCGCUUAUUUUGUCAAACCAACAGUCCCGAAAAAAAUGGUAUUCAAUAUAAUGUGAAACAGACAAAGGCAGAACAUUCAUUUUCGUAUUUUAGAACCAGGAUCCAUCAGACACUUGCAACUUCUGCUUUAGAAAUUAACAAUGAACAUAUUAACAAAAGCUUCGCAAGAUUCAGCAAGAUUUGCUCGGAAAACAAAACAACACGCAAGAAAAAAUGUACUGGUGCUGUUCAUCAAGUAAACACAAAUCAAAUCUUAAAUAGGAAGAAGCCCAUCUUGAUCUCAAGUUCACUGUCAAUAUGUGCAUAAAGUUUUGGGCAUGUGAACGAGAAACAUUUAUGAAAAGAAACACAUGUUCUGUUUCUUGAUCAGGUAAUUUCAGUAAGAUUCCAAAUGGCACGUGCUGUAGUAGCAGCAGCACACGUGUUUUUUGGUUAUUAUGAAUGCCAUUUUAUCCCUUGUUGUUACAAAGAGAUAGUAGUGGAUGACCAGCUCUGGUGCAGACAACGCAUCUGCUGAUAAAAGCACAAUGACGAGCAGUUUCCCAAAACGCUUAGAUAAAAGAAAGCCAACAGGUAAACACACACACUACACAGAGAGGUAUGGACGAGAUGUAGACAUUUAAAACAUAUAAAAAAGGUAUUUGAACAAAAUGUUCUAUGGGGAAAAAAGGAGAAAUAAAUCACAUCUAUUGCAUGCAUUCACUUGCUUAGAGAUGCACGGCAUGAGAGCAAAAGCGUCACCAUCACAACAAUCAUCACCAUCCAACAUGUAGGUGUAACCUUUUAUCGACACCAAUGGAAUUGUUAAUGUCACCAGCAUCUCCCCAGCCUCUGCACUCAGCACAGAUCCUCAGCAAAACAUAACAAAACCACAAUCUAACCCGUUGGGCCAACGCCCACGUAAUCUCGCCUCUCCAUUGGCCACGCGCAGACGACGUCCCGCCCCCAGCUGUGUCCGGCUGGCUUCCGUGACUGUCAAUCACCGGAGCUGCUUCAUACUAAACAGCCCGUUUCAAGCUAGGUUGAGGCAGAAGAUAAACAAGUUGGAGGCCUCCAUGCCCGUGGCCUACAUAGCAACAUUUAUUAAGAUAUUUAAAGUCACUCACCACGAACGAUGAAUGCAACACUGGAUCGAGCGCCGAUCUAUGAAUUACUAAUUUAUAUACAUAUGAAGAAAGAACGAUUCUAACAUUGACCUAUUCAAGUCGGUGGUAAAAAAAACAACAACAACAACAACUAAACAACAGUUUCUUAGGGUAAAAAUCCGUACGUAUCUAUCAUCCCAAAGAAAUCCAGCCUGGUUCGGGUGUAUUGUUUCUCUGACAUCGCAUGGAAAUUUCUGGCAGCGUCAAAUGUGUUUUUUUUUUUUUUUCCAGCAGCAGCAGUGUUCAGUGUUUGGGGGGCGUGUACCCGUCGAGAGCACAGACUGUUCUGCCUGCGGGAAAAAAAGUCAGUGUUUGGCUUUUAACUGACUCUUCACACCGCAAAUACACUUUGAUAAUGUACAACUAGACACAUUAAAUGGGCCCAUCGAAUUGGUGUAGGUAUAAUAGGUAUAAUGUAAAGCGAUCCGGGACAGUUUAAAAGUGGAGCGUGCAAAAGCAACCUUCAAUCUUCAGUGCAAUCUUCUUACACAAAAGUGCCGCUUUCAACCAACUGAGUUACUUCCUCUGAUGAGACUUAUUAAAAAUUAAAAAUUAAAAAAUAUAUAGAAGCAAUGCAUAGUGGGACGUUGAUGUACGGCUGGUAAAGCCCCGACAUGGAUGUCAAGCUCAACCUGAAACGUUGGCUAACUGCACAGUUUCACUCCUCCCGGAAAAGCUCGACGAGCUGCGGACGCACAUGCACUAUUUACUUGGCCCGCAGCCAUGUGUGAUGUGUUAUUAACGCGGACCUGACGGGGCUUGUGCCUCCCGUUCACCCGCAGCUCACAUUAAGUAUGGCCUCCACCCGCCCCCUUCCUCGUCCCCAGCUGAAGCCCGAUACACAACAACAACUGACCCGCCGUUAGCUCCGAGGCUAAUCCACUGCAACAAAACGCAGCGAGCGGGCGAAACACCGCCGCCCCGCGCGCCAAACGGGGCCAGAAACAGCUGCACUCACUUCACGGACGCCCCCUGCGUACGAUUCUCUUCGCGCCGGACAUCGUUCAGGCUGCCGUGUUGGAGAUAACGAGGCCCACUCUUCAAUGGAGUCCACACGCUGCCGCAGCUCUAUCGGAUUGACGACUGAUUCGAUAAACCUGGAUGAGGUGUUCUUCUGCUAACACUUCCAUCUGAAUGACUUGAGUGACAUGGUAGCAGAGCUGGCAAAUCCUUCAAGGGGAUCCAUCUGAUCUGCCCCAAACUUCAGUCAGUUUAAUCAAAACAUUUUUUGACUGUGAUAAAUUGCAAAUAUUUCUUCAAUGAAACAGGACGAUAAAUGGCCUGUACCUGAAUUGGUCUGUAAAUGAUGGUAAAUUCUGGCAGAUGUUUACAAUGUACCAUAUAAUACCUGGCCCCAUGUCAUGUUGUUUGUUUGUUUGUUUGUUGUCAGCAGGAUUAUGCCAAAACUACUGAACAGAUUUCCAUAAAACUUGGGGGAAAGAUGGGGCAUGGGUGAAAAGAAAACCAUUACAUUUCCUUAAACUUUGCAUGAUAUGACUCUUUAUUUUUUAAGUUUUUUACCAAUUUCCCAGAGAAAAAUGCAUGGGUUUUGAUAAAAAAAAAUAUAGGAAUAUUAAGGGGACUGAUAUCUAUGAGUGUGUGCAUUUGGUGUGAAUCCUAAUAAAAAUCAGUAUCAUGCAGAUUUAUAUGUGGUGUCAUAGGGGGAUUGUUGAGGAACUUGACAGAGGUAUGCACUCUACUGAGUGCCAUUAGUUGCCAUGGAAAGACGUGUACACAAAUCUAUGGUUUACUGAAUAAAAGACAUACAAUACGCCUCA